ACACAACACCUCCAGUAAAUACCAGCGAACAUGGAGGGGCUCACCAACUGGCCUCCACCAUGAAUUCCUGACCUCCAUCCACAUCAACAAACCUUGAGAAGUGUUGCAGAUAAGUCGGCACGUUCUCUUGAAGCGCCUGUCGGAUGUGACCCUCUGAGCAGUGAAGUGGAUGACAAUAUAGACUUGAGGGAGCUCCGGGGCAGGCAGGGAUCAUCAUACUUCAGUGACAACAGUCUCUAUGGGGUCAUUACUCAGCCUGAAGACACCCCUGCCAACCUACGAUCAUCAUACUUCAGUGACAACAGUCUCUAUGGGGUCAUUACUCAGCCUGAAGACACCCCUGCCAACCUACGAUCAUCAUACUUCAGUGACAACAGUCUCUAUGGGGUCAUUGCUCAGCCUGAAGACACCCCUGCCAACCUACGAUCAUCAUACUUCAGUAACAACAGUCUCUAAGGGGUCAUUAAUCCUAUCUUUCCUGAGACGAGAGACAACUAGGAACCCCCUCUCUCCCCGCUCUCUCUCUCUCUCUGUCUCUUGAAAUACCGGUGUAAUCAUCGGUGUAAAAACCUACAAUUGAAGUUUAUCUGUUAAUUAAGUCUUAUAUAAUUAUGAAAAAUAAUAACAACUGCCUGUCACGCGAAAUGAGAUAAACCAAUUUUAUAUAACCUGUGCUAAUGUAAUCUACCCUAACCAAACCUAACCUAACCUAUGCUAAUGUAAUCUAACGUAACCAAACUAAACUAAACGUAACUUAAUUUAACCAAACCUGAUCUACCAUUCUUUAGUUUGAUCGAGUCACUGCAUCUCAAACAAGACUUAUGUUUUUCACUACAGGUAAAUUUUCAUUACUUAUCAUGUAUAUAGAUAAUAACGUUAAGUUUAUCUUCUAAUACACCCACAUAACUUGUAAAAAAUAAAUAUAUAUUGAUUUUGA
rnacentral:misc_RNA from 1 species